rnacentral:rRNA from 1 species
CUUAACAUGCAGUCGAGCGCACUGCAUGGAAGCGGCAGACGGGUGAGUAACGCGUGGCACGUACCUUUUGCUACGGAAUAACUCAGGUAAACUUGUGCUAAUACCGUAUGUGCCCUUCGGGGGAAAGAUUUAUCGGCAAAGGAUCGGCCCGCGUUGGAUUAACUAGUUGGGGAGGUAAAUGCUCACCAAGGCGACGAUCCAUAGCUGGUCUGAGAGGAUGAUCAGCCACACUGGGACUGAGACACGGCCAAGACUCCUACGGGAGGCAGCAGUGGGGAAUAUUGGACAAUGGGCGCAAGCCUGAUCCAGCCAUGCCGCGUGAGUGAUGAAGGCCCUAGGGUUGUAAAGCUCUUUCACCGGUGAAGAUAAUGACGGUAACCGGAGAAGAAGCCCCGGCUAACUUCGUGCCAGCCGCCGCGGAUAAUUCG